UUGCUAGUUAUAUCUACUCUAUAUAUACUGAUAGGCCGCACUAUCUACAGGCAACACAAAUUCAGACGAAGAUACAGUUCAGCAACCACCGCCUUCAAACGCAGCGAUCGCGACUCAUUAGAAUGGAAUCCACCCUCAGAAAGCGGAAGUGUCCAAACCAGGAGUAAACCCUUUAGAGACAGUCUCGAUUUCGAUUCGCCUUUUCUGGAUUCCAUGAACGGCGCGCCUUCGUCUCCUGAGAUUAUAGAGCCAAGUUCAUCGCCGGUAAUUAUAGAACCAAGUUCGCCUUCCUCUGCGACUUUAGAACCAAGUUCGCCGUUUAAGUCAGCUUUCUUAAGCGUUCCUAUGACUCCUACCGAGAAACUCCGAAGUAGUUUUUCAGAAAUACAGAAAAAAGCUUCUAAGUCGACAAUACCUGUUCGGAAGCAUUUCGGAACUCAUCGGUGUUCAUGGAUGUUCAUGAUGAUUACUGUGGUGUACAUUCUCUCUUUCAUUCCACGGAUAACACUGAACGUACUGGAGUCCGUAGAUAAGCACUUUUGGGGGGAACUGUCGGACCGAGAAAUAGCAAGUUACCUGUUCCUUUACCGCUUAUAUCUUGUAAAUAACAUCAGUAAUCCGUUUUUCUACGGUUUGUUUGAUCGCGCGAUGCGCAAAGAACUUCGCAAAGCGUGUUGUUGCAAAUCCAAGUGAUUGUAGAAUAUUGAAUUGCAACAGAUAUCUUAUAUUAGGUUUUCUGCAGCGUACAAAAUUAACAUAGAAUGUGUGUAUAUGUCUUUCUGAUUUAACCUAUUUGUGACAUUGUUGUUUUUAAUUAUAGAUGCUACAUCAUUCUGUUUGAUGGAUAAAGUUUUAAAAAAAGAACGUUGUACAUAUAUACAUGUAUGUACACACACACACACACACACACACACACACACACACACACACGGCAACCUUUUUUGUUAAACAUCGUUCGAUUUCUUUGAGAAAUAUUAUGUUGAAUUUGAAUAACAAAAAAAUCAAAACGCCAUCAUUGCGGCGAACGCUUAUGAUCGCAUGUCGGUCGACGCAUAUGGUCCCUGUCUUUUUUUUUCACAAAAGACAGAAAAUGGUUCAUGGUUCAACUUUUUGCUAUUUCAACGUGAAUAGGGAAAUCUACUUAGUGACGGCCUUAAAACCAAAUACAUGUACUAUAGAUUUAAGUUUUAAUUU
rnacentral:misc_RNA from 1 species